rnacentral:rRNA from 1 species
GUCCACGCUGUAAACGAUGAGUGCUAGACGUUGGGGGACCUAGUUUCCCAGUGUCGCAGCUAACGCAUUAAGCACUCCGCCUGGGGAGUACGGCCGCAAGGUUAAAACUCAAAGGAAUUGACGGGGGCCCGCACAAGCGGUGGAGCAUGUGGUUCAAUUCGAAGCAACGCGAAGAACCUUACCAGCCCUUGACAUGGGUGGACGGGAUUCAGAGAUGAAUCCCUUCUCGCAAGAGACCACUACACAGGUGCUGCAUGGCUGUCGU